rnacentral:rRNA from 1 species
GAAGGGUGCAAGCGUUAAUCGGAAUUACUGGGCGUAAAGCGUGCGUAGGCGGUUUCUUAAGUCCGUUGUGAAAGCCCUGGGCUCAACCUGGGAACUGCGAUGGAUACUGAGGAGCUGGAGUACGGUAGAGGAAGGUGGAAUUCCCGGUGUAGCGGUGAAAUGCGUAGAGAUCGGGAGGAACAUCAGUGGCGAAGGCGGCCUUCUGGACCAGUACUGACGCUGAGGCACGAAAGCGUGGGGAGCAAACAGGAUUAGAUACCCUGGUAGUCCACGCCCUAAACGAUGCGGACUGGACGUUGGGCACAACUUGGUGCUCAGUGUCGAAGCUAACGCGUUAAGUCCGCCGCCUGGGGAGUACGCUCGCAAGGCUG